rnacentral:rRNA from 1 species
UGCAAGUCGAGCGGUAGCACAGAGAGCUUGCUCUCGGGUGACGAGCGGCGGACGGGUGAGUAAUGUCUGGGAAACUGCCUGAUGGAGGGGGAUAACUACUGGAAACGGUAGCUAAUACCGCAUAAUGUCGCAAGACCAAAGUGGGGGACCUUCGGGCCUCAUGCCAUCAGAUGUGCCCAGAUGGGAUUAGCUAGUAGGUGGGGUAACGGCUCACCUAGGCGACGAUCCCUAGCUGGUCUGAGAGGAUGACCAGCCACACUGGAACUGAGACACGGUCCAGACUCCUACGGGAGGCAGCAGUGGGGAAUAUUGCACAAUGGGCGCAAGCCUGAUGCAGCCAUGCCGCGUGUGUGAAGAAGGCCUUCGGGUUGUAAAGCACUUUCAGCGGGGAGGAAGGCGUUAAGGUUAAUAACCUUGGCGAUUGACGUUACCCGCAGAAGAAGCACCGGCUAACUCCGUGCCAGCAGCCGCGGUAAUACGGAGGGUGCAAGCGUUAAUCGGAAUUACUGGGCGUAAAGCGCACGCAGGCGGUCUGUCAAGUCGGAUGUGAAAUCCCCGGGCUCAACCUGGGAACUGCAUUCGAAACUGGCAGGCUAGAGUCUUGUAGAGGGGGGUAGAAUUCCAGGUGUAGCGGUGAAAUGCGUAGAGAUCUGGAGGAAUACCGGUGGCGAAGGCGGCCCCCUGGACAAAGACUGACGCUCAGGUGCGAAAGCGUGGGGAGCAAACAGGAUUAGAUACCCUGGUAGUCCACGCCGUAAACGAUGUCGAUUUGGAGGUUGUGCCCUUGAGGCGUGGCUUCCGGAGCUAACGCGUUAAAUCGACCGCCUGGGGAGUACGGCCGCAAGGUUAAAACUCAAAUGAAUUGACGGGGGCCCGCACAAGCGGUGGAGCAUGUGGUUUAAUUCGAUGCAACGCGAAGAACCUUACCUGGUCUUGACAUCCACAGAACUUACCAGAGAUGGAUUGGUGCCUUCGGGAACUGUGAGACAGGUGCUGCAUGGCUGUCGUCAGCUCGUGUUGUGAAAUGUUGGGUUAAGUCCCGCAACGAGCGCAACCCUUAUCCUUUGUUGCCAGCGGUUAGGCCGGGAACUCAAAGGAGACUGCCAGUGAUAAACUGGAGGAAGGUGGGGAUGACGUCAAGUCAUCAUGGCCCUUACGACCAGGGCUACACACGUGCUACAAUGGCAUAUACAAAGAGAAGCGACCUCGCGAGAGCAAGCGGACCUCAUAAAGUAUGUCGUAGUCCGGAUUGGAGUCUGCAACUCGACUCCAUGAAGUCGGAAUCGCUAGUAAUCGUAGAUCAGAAUGCUACGGUGAAUACGUUCCCGGGCCUUGUACACACCGCCCGUCACACCAUGGGAGUGGGUUGCAAAAGAAGUAGGUAGCUUAACCUUCGGGAGGGCGCU